rnacentral:rRNA from 1 species
GACGAACGCUGGCGGCGCGCCUAACACAUGCAAGUCGAACGGAGUUGUGUUGAAAGCUUGCUGGAUAUACAACUUAGUGGCGGACGGGUGAGUAACACGUGAGUAACCUGCCUCUCAGAGUGGAAUAACGUUUGGAAACGAACGCUAAUACCGCAUAACGUGAGAAGAGGGCAUCCUCUUUUUGCCAAAGAUUUAUCGCUGAGAGAUGGGCUCGCGGCCGAUUAGGUAGUUGGCGGGGUAACGGCCCACCAAGGCGACGAUCAGUAGCCGGACUGAGAGGUUGGCUGGCCACAUUGGGACUGAGACACGGCCCAG